UGGAUUACAGAACAGGUGUUUCAAAUGU
rnacentral:piRNA from 1 species